GGGAGCUUGCUCCCUUAGGUCAGCGGCGGACGGGUGAGUAACACGUGGGUAACCUGCCUGUAAGACUGGGAUAACUCCGGGAAACCGGGGCUAAUACCGGAUGCUUGAUUGAACCGCAUGGUUCAAUCAUAAAAGGUGGCUUUUAGCUACCACUUGCAGAUGGACCCGCGGCGCAUUAGCUAGUUGGUGAGGUAACGGCUCACCAAGGCGACGAUGCGUAGCCGACCUGAGAGGGUGAUCGGCCACACUGGGACUGAGACACGGCCCAGACUCCUACGGGAGGCAGCAGUAGGGAAUCUUCCGCAAUGGACGAAAGUCUGACGGAGCAACGCCGCGUGAGUGAUGAAGGUUUUCGGAUCGUAAAACUCUGUUGUUAGGGAAGAACAAGUACCGUUCGAAUAGGGCGGUACCUUGACGGUACCUAACCAGAAAGCCACGGCUAACUACGUGCCAGCAGCCGCGGUAAUACGUAGGUGGCAAGCGUUGUCCGGAAUUAUUGGGCGUAAAGCGCGCGCAGGCGGUUUCUUAAGUCUGAUGUGAAAGCCCCCGGCUCAACCGGGGAGGGUCAUUGGAAACUGGGGAACUUGAGUGCAGAAGAGGAGAGUGGAAUUCCACGUGUAGCGGUGAAAUGCGUAGAGAUGUGGAGGAACACCAGUGGCGAAGGCGACUCUCUGGUCUGUAACUGACGCUGAGGCGCGAAAGC
rnacentral:rRNA from 1 species